UGUCUUGAUCUUAUGUUUCUGAAUUGUAUGUAGGCUAGGCCAAUUUGUUGGUAUGCCAGAUUUAAAGUGAAGGGCUUAAGCAUCAUCCACACUGUAUGCUUAAGCAUCAUCCUGCAAAUCCUGUCCUCUACUGUAAUAUACGCAAUGGGAGCAGAUGAACAGUAUAUUGAUGAUUGGAAGGAAGCCCUUAAGAUUCAACCCAACUAUACAAAUUGUCUUCUAAGAUGUGCAACUUCCUAUUGCUAGAUUGAAAGAUGGGAGGACUCAGUAAAAGAUACGAGGUUCUUACGAGUCAGUGAAUUUCAAAUGGACGAAUCUUUUCAUAUAUAAUUCCAUCUAUUUGUUUUCCUUAUUUUGUUAUUUUUUCCAUCCAUAUAAGAUGUAUCAACUAGAUCAAUUCUUUCCCAUGCUUGUGUAGAAUGCGUGUGAACUUUAUGUUGAAUGUUCCUGUAAUAUAGGAAUAUGGGUGGUCUUGUAGUCAUUGAACAUUUAAAAUCAAAGUACCAAAGGAUGUACGUAUGUUAUUUAUGCCUUUAGUUUCAUAAUCUGCUGACACUGGCUUUCCGAAUCUGUAGAUACAAUUGUAAUCCCUUUGUUGAAGUAGCAGUUAAAAGAAAAGAAAAACUAGCGUUCGAUUUGUACAUGAAUCAUACAAUCUCUGUUGUUCCACAUGAGCCUUAUUAUGUUUUCCUGCUACA